AAGAAACUUCGGUGAGGGCAGAGGAUUGAAUGCCUGAAAGAACCCUGGUCUGUUGGCAGUGUCAUGCAAAGUCCACCGCUGCAUGUGCUAUAGAGGGACAGUAACAGAGUCACUGACCAAUCGAAUGGGGUCUAAGCAGAGUGGACUAAGGGCUUGCCUACACUUAAAACACCGCAGCUAUGUUGCUGUAGCACUUCACCUUGAAACCCUUGUAAGCAGAACAUCAUGCUGGUACCUGAUCACUACAAUGAUCCCAUCAAAGAUGUUGUAUGGAUUUUUGAUGUAGCCAAAUGGACCAUACACGAGGACUUUCAGCAGCAUCUCCAGGGCAAAG